rnacentral:rRNA from 1 species
UACAGAGGGCGCGAGCGUUGUCCGGAAUCACUGGGCGUAAAGGGCGCGUAGGUGGCCACUAUAAGGCCGCGGUGAAAGUUCGGGGCUCAACCCUGAAUCUGCCGCGGCGACUGUAGGGCUAGGGCACCGUAGAGGCAGAUGGAAUUCCGGGUGUAGCGGUGGAAUGCGUAGAUAUUCGGAAGAACACCAGUGGCGAAGGCGGCUCACUGGCCCGGUACUGACGCUGAGGUGCGAAAGCGUGGGGAGCAAACAGG